UACGUAGGGUGCGAGCGUUGUCCGGAAUUACUGGGCGUAAAGAGCUCGUAGGUGGUUUGUCGCGUUUGUCCGUGAAAUUCCCUGGCUUAACUGGGGGCGUGCGGGCGAUACGGGCAGACUGGAGUACUGCAGGGGAGACUGGAAUUCCUGGUGUAGCGGUGGAAUGCGCAGAUAUCAGGAGGAACACCGAUGGCGAAGGCAGAUCUCUGGGCCGUAACUGACGCU
rnacentral:rRNA from 1 species